AAUUUUUCGUGCAGUCGUGCGUAGCGGCGUGGCACAGCCCGGUCCAAUAAAGUCUCUUUAGUCUUUUUUGUGCAUUACUGUAUGAAAUAACAAAACUGAGUAAUAUUCUGUGAUUUCUAAAAGAUCAAUAAUAUAAAUUGAGUCAAAUUACUGUAAACCACAGGCCAAAAACUAUUUUUAUUGCAUGAAUGCAUUACUUUUUUUUUCUGAAUGUUAACAAAGUUUUUUUGUUUAAAAAUACCCUUAUUAAUUCUUAAAAACCACAAAUGUCUUUGAAUUAUACUGAAAGGAAGGGCCAGCUUUUGUCACCAUAGAAUACAGUGCAAAUUAAAUCCACAUGUUGGUUGUAGUUUAGACGCAUUAUGAAGAGUGCUGGACUAGCCCGUUGUUUUAAUGCUAUGUCAUGAGUUUUUCUUUAAAUAACUAAUUUCUUCUGUAUUGUACAUGAAGAUCAAUGCUGAAAAUUGUCACGAAAGAAGAUGAGGUGGCAGAACCAGCACUGCUCCAGAGACACCAGCAGCUGUACAGGAUGCAGCAAUGAGGACCGUCCAUCUCUACAGAUUUUCUCUUGAUGUUGCUGGACACAGCUUGUGAUGGCAGUAACUGAGCAGAACAGCUGCUUCUACAAGCGACAGCCCAAAUCACACUGAGAUCAUCAUGAGACUGUUCUUCCAGGCCUGAACCCAGAGCUGCUUGUGUUGCCAAUGUUUGACCUAUGCAGUGUAUCUGCUUGGCAUCUAAACAGUAGACCUCAGGUAUUCAGGAACUUCUCUUGCAGUCGUAUACAUGAAAGCUGUCCAACACAGUCCAGUUACUCGAGUCUAAACUGUUGCUUUAAACUGAGAUUGUCAAAGUUUGAACAGUCUGCAAGGGUGGUCUGCAAUCUUCACUGUACCAGGGGGGAAAUAUUUGUUGUAUUAGUAUAUGAUAUUGUAGUAUAUAACAACAUAUUGUCUAACAGUAAAACCUUCUCUGUGGUUCCAUUUGGCUAAACAGGCUCCACAAAUUAGUGUUAAAUCAUAGUAAACAUAGUAUAUGGCACUACUGGGUUGUUAAAAGAGAUUCCUUCAGCCU